rnacentral:rRNA from 1 species
GAUGAACGCUGGCGGCGUGCCUAAUACAUGCAAGUCGAGCGAACGGACGAGAAGCUUGCUUCUCUGAUGUUAGCGGCGGACGGGUGAGUAACACGUGGAUAACCUACCUAUAAGACUGGGAUAACUUCGGGAAACCGGAGCUAAUACCGGAUAAUAUUUCGAACCGCAUGGUUCAAAAGUGAAAGACGGUCUUGCUGUCACUUAUAGAUGGAUCCGCGCUGCAUUAGCUAGUUGGUAAGGUAACGGCUUACCAAGGCAACGAUGCAUAGCCGACCUAAGAGGGUGAUCGGCCACACUGGAACUGAGACACGGUCCAGACUCCUACGGGAGGCAGCAGUAGGGAAUCUUCCGCAAUGGGCGAAAGCCUGACGGAGCAACGCCGCGUGAGUGAUGAAGGUCUUCGGAUCGUAAAACUCUGUUAUUAGGGAAGAACAUAUGUGUAAGUAACUGUGCACAUCUUGACGGUACCUAAUCAGAAAGCCACGGCUAACUACGUG